AAUAAGGGAAAAUUCGAAAAUUUUCAUUGUUUAGACUAUAUAUCUGAAUGGUCUAUUAAUUAGACGAAUUAACUUGAUUGGUCAAAACCAACAUCAGUCCUCUAAACAUUGUGAAAAGAAAAGUCUGUUCACUAGAGCUGCUUGCCGGCCGGCUGCUUUUGUUAGGAUGAAGGAGCUGCAACAAAAGAAAGCAGGUUAAGUCAGAUUUAAUUAUGAUGUUUUUGGGAAAAGCAAGCAGCUCAAUGCUGGUUGAAUUCCAUGUUUUUUUCAACUAUAAAAUAGAACCCAUGUUUACUAGGUUCAUGAAAAGAUACUCUUUCCAAAUCCAAACCAGGAAAUUUCCUUCUUUCACAUUCAUGCUUUAAUGAAAAACAUAAACCCCUUUUCUUUUUCUUGGGUGCAAUUGAACGCCUGUACUUUAUAAAGACGACAAUUCACAAAGCUAUGUACCAGACUGCCUUAAGCUAUGGAUGAGAAAAUGAUUUGUCUAGAAUAGUAUUUUAAAAAAAAUUCUGUUUUUUUUUUCUCAUGUAAACAUAUUUCUUUUUCAUCCAAACAUAUAUCUUUCAAAAAACUUUUUUUUUUAUCAAUGAUUGACUGGGUAUUUAUUGAAUUAAAAUUAAAGAAAACAGAGGGUUCAAGCUUACUAAGACAAACCCAAAAUUCAAAUCGGCCUGCCUCAAUUCUUAAGUGGAGACUAGCAAAACAUUAAAAAAAUAGCAAAAGAAAAACGGAAAUAAAAUGAAACGGCAAAAAUAAAUGUGCCUUGAAAAAAGGAAACCUAAUCCACCCUUAGUCAAUCUUCCAACGGAUGGAAACCAUUAAUCCCUCUUGACAUUUCUUAUCACCUGUCCCAUCCAUUCCAUCCGUUUGACGAUAGCUUUGCCCGAUAUUUUCUUUCUUUGCUAUCUGCUUUUAGAAACAAAUCCUCUCCCAAUCUUCUUAGUCCGGAUUUCUUGCCCAUUGCUCUGCUGCGCUCAUAUCGUGAUGAAUCGGCUCCUUAUUCUCCAGCAAUAUUGCGAUGAAUAGUCGAUUUCGAAGCCAAAUACUCAUUCAUCGAACCCCUGACCACCAGCCCCGAUGCUGAUCUGAACUCUCUGUUGUUGAACGUAGCAUCAAACUGGAUCUUCACAAUCGGUAAGUCUUCCACAUUCCUUUGGUUGUGCAUCGUAUGUGAUAAAGUCAUCUUUACUCUAAUCCCUUUGUAUUCUGCCAUGUGGUUUUGAAUUUUCCGUGCAAGGUCUCUGCCCGUUGUGUGUACCUGUUCAUGCAAAAACUGAUUCCUUGAAUGCCAAAGUACUCAUAAGCCAUAGCAAAAAUAUCUGCAUUGUUCGUUUGACAAAUUUAUUCCACUAUAAAUUUUAUAAUUUUUCAGUUUGAAUAUUCUCUUUCUUCAUGUUUUUUUCGGGAUUUAUAAAAUAUUUGACAAAUUUAAA